rnacentral:rRNA from 1 species
UACGUAGGGUGCGAGCGUUACUCGGAAUUACUGGGCGUAAAGGGUGCGCAGGCGGCGUCGCAAGUCAGGCGUGAAAUCCCCGGGCUUAACCUGGGAACUGCACUUGAAACUACGAUGCUGGAGUAUGGCAGAGGGAGGUGGAAUUCCACGUGUAGCGGUGAAAUGCGUAGAGAUGUGGAGGAACACCGAUGGCGAAGGCAGCCUCCUGGGCCAAUACUGACGCUCAUGCACGAAAGCGUGGGGAGCAAACAGG